UUUUCAAUAUUCAGUGUUUAUCGAUGUAACUUACCCAAUUAAGUCUUAUAACAGUGCUUAUGAUCCGUUUUUCUUAAAAGGUUUUAGUUAAAAUAUUAUGCCAUAUGUCAUACUUAUCUGAAAAAUAACUGAAUGCCUUAAGUUGAGGUAAUGUAUUAUGUAAAUGGAAAAAAUUCUAUGCUUAUUCGAAAAAACAUCCUCAACAGAUACAUAUUGUAUGUAUUUUCUUAAAACAGCAACUUCACUUUACUUACCUCAACAAAUGUCACUUAACUUAUAUAACUCAAAAAAAUACAAACUGGCUUAGUAAAUUUACAAAUGAUUCAUCUUGUUUUGUCAACCAUUUAUCAAAAUUUAAAACUGUGCCGUUAUUUUUGGAAUCCUAUGAUGUUUAAUAUGGCUUACUAGAGGUUUGUAUGCUGCUGUAUGUUAGUAUUUAUUGAUUUCAUACAUUAUAUUAUUUAGAAGCUCCGAAAAUUUACUAAACUAGUUUAGAAUAAAUGUUAUUAGUUUAGAUAAUAUACUGGACAGAUUUAGAAUGACUGUAAUCAGUACCUAAUUUUAUCAGAUAUGAUUUUUUUAAAACAAAGAAUCCUUUUUAGUAAAUAUUUUCGCCGUUUUUUGUCCGUGUAGGUUAUCAAAAUGCAGAGGUCAGAAGAGGCGGUAAAAUUUGAAUAGCCUACUGGCUGCAAAUGUGUUAAUCCGCCACUGGUUUUCAGCUUCAUUCAGUAUAAAAACAAUUAAAUUUUCCAAGAAUUACUAUUUUUCCUAAAACAAUAAGUUUGUAUAUAUUUGAUAAUAAUGAUUGAAACAUUGUACUUAUACACUCAUAAGACAGCUUCAUAACUUACUGUCAUAAUAUAUACUAUCUACAACAAUCUAGGGAGUUAGGGACCUUGCUAUUGUAGUAUAUUUUUUUAAUGCCCUUACAUAACUUGGAUAUAUCUGCAAGUGCUAAAUAAUCACACUAGGUGCAGUAAGCGGUAAGCUAGAACAUACAAAUUUACUUGUGAAUUAUAUUGACUAAUUAACUUUAUUGCACACUGUUUGUAUUUAAAAGAAUCACAUAAUUCAUUUCUUUGUGAUCAGGAAAUACUAGUAUACAAAAGGCAUUAUUAACAUCAAUUUUAGAUAAUAUUUUCAUAAAUUUAGUUUUUUAAAUAUGUAUAUUUACGAGUUGGGUGAGAACUAAUAGUUUCCUAUAAUUACCAUUGGAAUAAAAUAACAAGCAACAAUGAACUGGCCCAAGGGUUCUUAGAUGGCGUACUUACUAUGAGGUAUUCAAUAACAAGCUGCCCAAUACUAAUGAAGUGAUAGUACAAUAUGACAAAUGGUAUUACAGUAUAUAAUUUGAUAAAUGGUAGGUAUUAAAAUGAUCCACAAAAUAAAAGAAGACACAAC